GUGGGGAAUAUUGGACAAUGGGCGCAAGCCUGAUCCAGCCAUGCCGCGUGAGUGAUGAAGGCCUUAGGGUUGUAAAGCUCUUUCAGUGGGGACGAUAAUGACGGUACCCACAGAAGAAGCCCCGGCUAACUUCGUGCCAGCAGCCGCGGUAAUACGAAGGGGGCUAGCGUUGUUCGGAUUUACUGGGCGUAAAGCGCACGUAGGCGGAUCGUUAAGUCGGGGGUGAAAUCCUGGAGCUCAACUCCAGAACUGCCUUCGAUACUGGCGAUCUUGAGUCCGGAAGAGGUGAGUGGAACUCCUAGUGUAGAGGUGGAAUUCGUAGAUAUUAGGAAGAACACCAGUGGCGAAGGCGGAUCACUGGUCCGGUACUGACGCUGAGGUGCGAAAGCGUGGGGAGCAAACAGGAUUAGAAACCCCAGUAGUCC
rnacentral:rRNA from 1 species